GGGGGGGGGGGGGGGGGGGGGGGGGGCGGGGGGGGCGGGCGGCGGCGGAGGAGGAGCUUGCGCUGGCGGGGGGCGAGUGGCGGAGGGGUGGGGAAUACAUCGGGAUCUACUUUUUCGUGGGGGAUAACGUAGGGGACUUACGCUAAUACCGCAUACGACCUACGGGUGAAAGCAGGGGGUCUUCGGACCUUGCGCGAUUGAAUGAGCCGAUGUCGGAUUAGCUAGUUGGCGGGGUAAAGGCCCACCAAGGCGACGAUCCGUAGCUGGUCUGAGAGGAUGAUCAGCCACACUGGAACUGAGACACGGUCCAGACUCCUACGGGAGGCAGCAGUGGGGAAUAUUGGACAAAGGGCGCAAGCCUGAUCCAGCCAUACCGCGUGGGUGAAGAAGGCCUUCGGGUUGUAAAGCCCUUUUGUUGGGAAAGAAAAGCAGCAGGUUAAUACCCCGCUGUUCUGACGGUACCCAAAGAAUAAGCACCGGCUAACUUCGUG
rnacentral:rRNA from 1 species